rnacentral:rRNA from 1 species
CCUACGGGAGGCAGCAGUAGGGAAUCUUCCACAAUGGACGAAAGUCUGAUGGAGCAACGCCGCGUGAGUGAUGAAGGUUUUCGGAUCGUAAAACUCUGUUGUAAGGGAAGAACAAGUACGUUAGGAAAUGAACGUACCUUGACGGUACCUUAUUAGAAAGCCACGGCUAACUACGUGCCAGCAGCCGCGGUAAUACGUAGGUGGCAAGCGUUGUCCGGAUUUAUUGGGCGUAAAGCGCGCGCAGGUGGUUUCUUAAGUCUGAUGUGAAAGCCCACGGCUCAACCGUGGAGGGUCAUUGGAAACUGGGAGACUUGAGUGCAGAAGAGGAUAGUGGAAUUCCAAGUGUAGCGGUGAAAUGCGUAGAGAUUUGGAGGAACACCAGUGGCGAAGGCGACUGUCUGGUCUGUAACUGACACUGAGGCGCGAAAGCGUGGGGAGCAAACAGGAUUAGAUACCCUGGUAGUCCACGCCGUAAACGAUGAGUGCUAAGUGUUAGGGGGUUUCCGCCCCUUAGUGCUGCAGCUAACGCAUUAAGCACUCCGCCUGGGGGAGUACGACCGCAAGGUUGAAACUCAAAGGAAUUGACGGGGGCCCGCACAAGCGGUGGAGCAUGGUGGGUUUAAUUCGAAGCAACGCGAAGAACCUUAC